UCAACUGGAAUAGAUACAGCCUUUGCGGUGU
rnacentral:piRNA from 1 species